AACCAGCCAGACAGCCCGCACGCCGAGCUGCCCACCAGGCCGAGCUGUACUUUGUGUAUGCCAACAUGCCGACAUGCUGUAAUUUGUUAGUACUUCAAGAUCAUAUAAUGGAAAAUUGUAUCCAAACUGAAGUAUAAUUUGAAUCAUGAUGUGCCAAUAAGCUCCAGUUAGCUGUGCCUUUUUCCUCCCACCGGUUGUCCUUCAAUCUGAAUCCAGGAGAUGCAGCUCUGAAUCCAAUAUUUCAGGAGAAUGAAUAUAAAACUGAAGCCUUCAGGAAGUCAAUGCCACCAUGGUAUUGAUUUACUCAGCUGUGAUGUAACAUGCCUUCAAGCCACUAUCCGAAGAACAUUCAGACGUUCUAAAUGGACCAUUGCCCUGUUGCCAUGGAAAUCAUUAUGAGGAGGAGCACACAAACUGUCACUUGUUUUGGAUAUCAGAUGUACCACGAACUGACCAUAAACUUUUCAGAUGCUCUGUUUAUUUCAUUAGCCAAUUUCGAUGUAAAUUUUACUGAAUAAUGACAAACCGUCUUACUCAUAAGCAUCUCUUACUCAUUCGUAUUCCACAACUAAACAUGCUUGCAAUUACACUGUGCCAUCUAUCAUAAUAUAGCAAUGCUGCAAUGUCCACAUUUUUUUUGUACCAGUUGUUGCUUUAUACUGAAACUUUUAUUGAAAAUGGUGCAUAAACACUGACAACACAUCAAAGUUUCGUUCAUACAUUUGUACAUGUUCUUUCAGUGUUGAUAAUGUUGACAUAUUUCAUGUACAU